GACCUCGGAUCAGGUAGGGAUACC
rnacentral:ncRNA from 5 species